UUGCUUAUGUAUGACGUCACUGUCCCACGUGUUUGUCACACCCACUGCUUGUAGCAUUGGACAGAGUGGUAGCGGUUACAGUGGCAUUUGAGGGCGGGGCGUGUUGUGUGAUAGGAGGAAGAUGGUGUCUGCAAUCGAUAUCCUCUUGACUCAUUGUCAUCUGUUCAUUCUUCAAGGGAUAUCCUCGGUCUCUUUGUCAUCUGUUCCUGUCGGUUAUGUCGGAUACUGACAUGGGACACUGCAACUUGCAUGGUGUCAGCAGCAAGGUGCAUACUGUACCUCAGUGAGGUGGUCCCUGAUGAAAACGUGUACCACCUUACAUUCUGCACAGCUGUAUUGAGAAGAGUAAACAGGAAAAAAAACACACGGAAAAAAGCUUACAUGCUUCAGAAUUCCUGAUAUAAAGAUAUGGCCCAAAAUGAAUCAUGCAUGAAAUUCAAUGCCCAAAAGAUACCCACUGCAACAUACAAUAGCACGGCUAGAAAACAGCAGCAACAAGAUACCACACUCAAACUGGUGGCAGUUCUACUAUGACUCUCAACGCAAAUGAAAUCCAGAACAUGCUAAUUAAAACUACUCCAUCAUCAGCA